rnacentral:rRNA from 1 species
UACGAAGGGGGCUAGCGUUGCUCGGAUUGACUGGGCGUAAAGGGCGCGUAGGCGGUUCGUACAGUCAGACGUGAAAUUCCUGGGCUCAACCUGGGGGCUGCGCUUGAUACGGUACGGCUAGAGGACGGAAGAGGCUCGCGGAAUUCCCAGUGUAGAGGUGAAAUUCGUAGAUAUUGGGAAGAACACCGGUGGCGAAGGCGGCGAGCUGGUCCGUUACUGACGCUGAGGCGCGACAGCGUGGGGAGCAACAGG